rnacentral:rRNA from 1 species
AGGACGAACGCUGGCGGCGUGCUUAACACAUGCAAGUCGAACGGAAAGUGCCCAGCUUGCUGGGUGACUCGAGUGGCGAACGGGUGAGUAACACGUGGGUGAUCUGCCCUGCACUUUGGGAUAAGCCUGGGAAACUGGGUCUAAUACCGAAUACACCCUGCUGGUCGCAUGGCCUGGUGGGGGAAAGCUUUUGCGGUGUGGGAUGGGCCCGCGGCCUAUCAGCUUGUUGGUGGGUGAUGGCCCACCAAGGCGACGACGGGUAGCCGGCCUGAGAGGGUGUCCGGCCACACUGGGACUGAGAUACCGGCCAGACUCCGUACGGGAGGCAGCGAGUGGGGAAUUAGUUGCUAACAAGU